UACAGAGGUCCCAAGCGUUGUUCGGAUUCAUUGGGCGUAAAGGGUGUGUAGGUGGCGCUGUAAGUCGGGUGUGAAAUCUCGGGGCUUAACUCCGAAACUGCAUUCGAUACUGCGGUGCUUGAGGACUGGAGAGGAGACUGGAAUUCAUGGUGUAGCAGUGAAAUGCGUAGAGAUCAUGAGGAAGACCAGUGGCGAAGGCGGGUCUCUGGACAGUUCCUGACGCUGAGGCACGAAGGCCAGGGGAGCGAACGGG
rnacentral:rRNA from 1 species